rnacentral:rRNA from 1 species
GACGAACGCUGGCGGCGUGCUUAACACAUGCAAGUCGAACGGAAAGGCCCCUUUGGGGGUACUCGAGUGGCGAACGGGUGAGUAACACGUGAGUAACUUGCCCUUGACUUCGGGAUAACUUCAGGAAACUGGGGCUAAUACCGGAUAGGAAUCCUUGCCGCAUGGUGGGGGUUGGAAAGCUUCGGCGGUUUUGGAUGGACUCGCGGCUUAUCAGCUUGUUGGUGGGGUAGUGGCUUACCAAGGCAUUGACGGGUAGCCGGCCUGGGGGGGCGACCGGCCACAUUGGGGCUGAGGUACGGCCCAGGCUCCUACGGGGGGCAACAGUGGGGAAUAUUGCACAAUGGGCGGAAGCCUGGUGCAGCAACGCCGCGGGCGGGAUGGCGGGCUUCGGGUUGUAAACCGCUUUCAGCAGGGGCGAAGCUUGUGGUGACGGUACCUGCAGAAGAAGCACCGGCUAACUACGUG